GUUAUAUAUACAAAUAAUCAAGGGAACGAAUAGGUUAGGUCCAUGCUGAGGUUGAAGGAUCGGGACGGCUAAUCAUCAAGAAAUCUGGGUGAAAUCGGGGAGCUGACUACGUGUCUAAGUUGGGCAGUAUUAGAAGAAGGGUUGGCAUAAUCGACGUAGAAAAUAGUAUUGGAUAUAAGAUUAAGCGUAGUUUUGAAAGCAACUGUGGAUAUCUCUAUCGAUUCUCCAAUGCGGGAACUAUCACCAACAUCAGCAAGGAGUUGUUCUACUUUGUUACGCCGCAGGUGUUGGUUAGCGUCAAGUUUCUGAGUAGCGAAAAUGUGCAAGUUGCAGAUUUUCCUAAGAUUUCUCCAUGUGGUUGAAACAGGCAUCCAAGCUAUUCCGGCUUCGUGGUGUUGAAGGGUACGAAGGGCAUCGGGAACGGUUCGAUUACAAGAUAUUGCGUCAUGCGUUUAGAGGAUUUCUUUGGCCAUGGUUUCAGAUGACAAAACUAUAGUAGUUGUUUGGCCAAAUUUCAGAGUCAUGAUGUCCCAAUGAACCUUUGCAAGUUCUGUAAGGGUCCUAUGGGGUUUACCACCAAGCUGGAAGAGGUUUCCGAAUAUUGGAAUUGCAGGAGGACCAGGUGGAAGCCUGUUGGUCCCCCCCAAUUUCCUGUAGACUUGGAACAAGACCAAGAGCAAAACAAGGCACACUAACCAACUGAAAGUAUCCAUCCUUCGUUGUGGAAACCUAAUCCGUAAGGAAAAGGUUACACUAAUUUUUAAAAUUGUAACUGCAUUCUUUUAUCUAAAGUGAAGUCAUUUUAUGUUAUAGCAA